rnacentral:rRNA from 1 species
ACCAGACUCCUACGGGAGGCAGCAGUGGGGAAUAUUGCACAAUGGGGGAAACCCUGAUGCAGCGACGCCGCGUGAGUGAAGAAGUAUUUCGGUAUGUAAAGCUCUCUCAGCAGGAACGAGACAAGACGGUACCUGACUAAGAAGCCCCGGCUAACUACGUGCCAGCAGCCGCGGUAAUACGUAGGGGGCAAGCGUUAUCCGGAAUCACUGGGUGUAAAGGGAGCGUAGACGGCUGUGCAAGCCUGAAGUGAAAGGCGGGGGCCCAACCCCUGGACUGCUUUGGGAACUGUACGGCUGGAGUGCAGGAGAGGUAAGUGGAAUUCCUAGUGUAGCGGUGAAAUGCGUAGAUAUUAGGAGGAACACCAGUGGCGAAGGCGGCUUACUGGACUGUAACUGACGUUGAGGCUCGAAAGCGUGGGGAGCAAACAGGAUUAGAUACCCCGGUAAAC